rnacentral:rRNA from 1 species
UGGGGAAUCUUGCGCAAUGGGCGAAAGCCUGACGCAGCAACGCCGCGUGGGGGAUGAAUGCCUUCGGGUUGUAAACCCCUUUCAGCAGGAACGAAAAUGACGGUACCUGCAGAAGAAGGCCCGGCCAACUACGUGCCAGCAGCCGCGGUAACACGUAGGGGCCAAGCGUUGUCCGGAUUUAUUGGGCGUAAAGAGCUCGUAGGCGGUUGGGUAAGUCGGGUGUGAAAACUCCAGGCUCAACUUGGAGACGCCACCCGAUACUGCUCUGACUUGAGUUCGGUAGGGGAGUGGGGAAUUCCUGGUGUAGCGGUGAAAUGCGCAGAUAUCAGGAGGAACACCGGUGGCGAAGGCGCCACUCUGGGCCGAAACUGACGCUGAGGAGCGAAAGCGUGGGUAGCAAACAG